ensembl:miRNA gga-mir-1660 gga-mir-1660
CAAGUAAACAUAAAGGCAUAGUAUACAAUAGGCCUGUGUUUUUGUGCAUAUUUG